GAGCAAGGUAGGCACAGGGUUAUGAGUGAGGAAUAUCUUAAUAGCAUUCACAUCUAUGAAUUGGUCCGGAUUAGGGAAUAGCACCAAACCAUAGAUUAGCAAUGCUAGAACAUCUUCAAAAGCAUGGACCUUCAUAACUUUUAGGAAUUCUCGGGCCUUACCUACCAGAAAUUUGGCGAGUAAACCCUUAACUCCACUUCUUGUUACCCAAUUAGUCUCAAUGUCA
rnacentral:lncRNA from 1 species